CUGCUGCCUCCCGUAGGAGUUUGGGCCGUGUCUCAGUCCCAAUGUGGCCGUUCACCCUCUCAGGCCGGCUACUGAUCGUCGCCUUGGUGGGCCGUUACCCCUCCAACCAGCUAAUCAGACGCGGGUCCAUCCUGUACCACCGGAGUUUUUCACACUGCUUCAUGCAAAGCUGUGCGCUUAUGCGGUUUUAGCACCUAUUUCUAAGUGUUAUCCCCCUGUACAGGGCAGGUUGCCCACGCGUUACUCACCCGUCCGCCA
rnacentral:rRNA from 1 species